UACGGGGGGGGCAAGCGUUGUUCGGAAUUACUGGGCGUAAAGGGUUCGUAGGUGGCCAACUAAGUCAGACGUGAAAUCCCUCAGCUUAACUGGGGAACUGCGUCUGAGACUGGAUGGCUUGAGUGCAGGAGAGGUAAGUGGAAUUCCGAGUGUAGAGGUGAAAUUCGUAGAUAUUCGGAAGAACACCAGUGGCGAAGGCGACUUACUGGACGACUGUUGACACUGAGGUGCGAAAGCGUGGGGAGCAAACAGG
rnacentral:rRNA from 1 species